rnacentral:lncRNA from 1 species
UAUCAUCUGUGUCAAGCUACCUCUGGCCCACGGUGUCCAUCUUAGUGAACCUAAUUCUUGGCUCACAGUGAUGCUCACAGACACAUCUCAUUAAUUUAAAGUCUCUGAUUUACUGGUUCAAAAGAGGAAUGCUGUUAAUUAAUUGCCCUUUGCCACAUGGACAGCGGAAGCAACAUCGGCCUCUCUUCAGCUUGCAUCUGGGCAAUCCAGGGAUCUAAGUAGAGUAUGAUAUGGUCCAACCAAGUGCAUCCAGGUGCAGAGAAGAGAAUGUGUUGGUGGUUGUGUGUGUUGGAGGGGGGGCAGUGAGAUAGAAAAGGCCACUUAGAGAAGACAACAGUACUGAGAUCUUAGACCUAAUCCUAGAGCGGUCCCUGCAUUAAAGCAGGAAAAGCGGGCAGUUGAGGAGUCUACGCUGGUAGCCACAUGUGAGACACACCAGGGUGUGGAAACUAGAGGCAGAGAGGAAACUGAGUCUGAGGUGGGGGUCUGAUCAAAGCCUUCAGAGGAAGUGGCUAUGGACAGUUUCUGGCUUUGGGGUCUACAUGUGACCUCGCUCAUCUUCUGUAGUCCUAGAAUGGGCUCCCCAGGGCAGAUGAUAUCAUGGGUAAAUCACCCAGGAUAACCUGCCCUUGGGCCUCCAUGGGCCGCUGCAAAGAGCUCAGGAGGCUGAGUGUGUUAAAGGUGCUUUGUUAUACUGUAGAGUGCUAUACAAAUGUUAGCUAUUAUUAUUAAAUGGCUGAGACAGUAUUUUGUCAGUAGCUUAGUUCUGCUCGGUUGAGCACUAUGCUACAAACAUUUUACCAAAUACCAAACAUGACUUUUUAUUUAGGGAAGAGAUUCAGGAGCUUUCAUGGAACACUGGAAAAUCGAAACAGCAGCUAAAAGUGCAGCUACAGAAGCUUCCAGAUAAGAAUCUUCACUCCGGUUUAUCUUUAUGGUUUAUCCUGAAUGCCCAUUUAUAUCAACGGAAGCAGAGCUUCUCUGAGGACAAAGAUAUUUUACGCGCACAAGUAUUGAUAACCUGGAAUCAUGAAACUUUAACCUUGGAAGGCAUAUUGUAGCAAGACCGCGCCACUCUAUCAAAUUUCCUCCAAGCACUGUGUAUGCUUCUCAGAACCCAGCAUGAGGCUUUACUUCUGAUGCCUCACUG